rnacentral:sRNA from 1 species
CUCAGUGUCCUGGUUCCUGCAGCGGCAGCAACAGCAGGUCCUACUAUCGCCUCCCUCUAGUCUCUGCUUCUCUGGAUCCCUGAGGAGGGCAGAAGUGAUUCUGGUUCUUGGACAAGGUGUUGAGGAACACUAGAAACAGAGGGGACUGUGACCUGGGGACUUUUUCUGCAGGAAGAAAACAGCCCAAAGAUGAGAGUGAUUCGCGUGGGUACCCGCAAGAGCCAGCUUGCUCGCAUACAGACGGACAGUGUGGUGACAACAUUGAAAGCCUCAUACCCUGGCCUGCAGUUUGAAAUCAUUGCUAUGUCCACCACAGGGGACAAGAUUCUUGAUACUGCACUCUCUAAGAUUGGAGAGAAAAGCCUGUUUACCAAGGAGCUUGAACAUGCCCUGGAGAAGAAUGAAGUGGACCUGGUUGUUCACUCCUUGAAGGACCUGCCCACUGUGCUUCCUCCUGGCUUCACCAUCGGAGCCAUCUGCAAGCGGGAAAACCCUCAUGAUGCUGUUGUCUUUCACCCAAAAUUUGUUGGGAAGACCCUAGAAACCCUGCCAGAGAAGAGUGUGGUGGGAACCAGCUCCCUGCGAAGAGCAGCCCAGCUGCAGAGAAAGUUCCCGCAUCUGGAGUUCAGGAGUAUUCGGGGAAACCUCAACACCCGGCUUCGGAAGCUGGACGAGCAGCAGGAGUUCAGUGCCAUCAUCCUGGCAACAGCUGGCCUACAGCGCAUGGGCUGGCACAACCGGGUGGGGCAGAUCCUGCACCCUGAGGAAUGCAUGUAUGCUGUGGGCCAGGUACACUUGACCAGGGAAGCCACAUGGUGACAUAUGCCUUCCCUUUGUUCUCAACCAAGAAGCUUGUCUCACAACCUUCUGCAUCUGCUUCCC